rnacentral:rRNA from 1 species
UCCGUAGGUGAACCUGCGGAAGGAUCAUUACUAGAGCAAAGGAUAGACAGCGCCCGCGGAGCUCGCUCCCGGGGCUACCCUACUCCCGUAGGGUUUAGAGCCGUCGGGCCUCUCGGAGAAGCUCGGUCCUGAACUCCACCCUUGAAUAAACUACCUUUGUUGCUUUGGCGGGCCGCCUCGUGCCAGCGGCUUCGGCUGUUGAGUGCCCGCCAGAGGACCCCAACUCUUGUUUUUAGUGAUGUCUGAGUACUAUAUAAUAGUUAAAACUUUCAACAACGGAUCUCUUGGUUCUGGCAUCGAUGAAGAACGCAGCGAAAUGCGAUAAGUAAUGUGAAUUGCAGAAUUCAGUGAAUCAUCGAAUCUUUGAACGCACAUUGCGCCCUCUGGUAUUCCGGGGGGCAUGCCUGUUCGAGCGUCAUUAUAACCACUCAAGCUCUCGCUUGGUAUUGGGGUUCGCGGUUUCGCGGCCCCUAAAAUCAGUGGCGGUGCCUGUUGGCUCUACGCGUAGUAAUACUCCUCGCGAUUGAGUCCGGUAGGUCUACUUGCCAGCAACCCCUAAUUUUUUUUAAGGUUGACCUCGGAUCAGGUAGGGAUACCCGCUGAACUUAAGCAUAUCAAUAAGCGGAGGAAAAGAAAC